rnacentral:rRNA from 1 species
GACGAACGCUGGCGGCGUGCCUAACACAUGCAAGUCGAGCGAGUGAAUUUCCUUCGGGAUUGAAGCUAGCGGCGGACGGGUGAGUAACACGUGGGCAACCUGCCUCAUAGAGGGGAAUAGCCUUUCGAAAGGAAGAUUAAUACCGCAUAAGAUUGUAGCUUCGCAUGAAGUAGCAAUUAAAGGAGCAAUCCGCUAUGAGAUGGGCCCGCGGCGCAUUAGCUAGUUGGUGAGGUAACGGCUCACCAAGGCGACGAUGCGUAGCCGACCUGAGAGGGUGAUCGGCCACAUUGGGACUGAGACACGGCCCAGACUCCUACGGGAGGCAGCAGUGGGGAAUAUUGCACAAUGGGGGAAACCCUGAUGCAGCAACGCCGCGUGAGUGAUGACGGCCUUCGGGUUGUAAAGCUCUGUCUUCAGGGACGAUAAUGACGGUACCUGAGGAGGAAGCCACGGCUAACUACGUGCCAGCCGCCGCAGUAA